rnacentral:misc_RNA from 1 species
GAUGAAGAACGCAGCGAAAUGCGAUAAGUAGUGUGAAUUGCAGAAUUCAGUGAAUCAUCGAAUCUUUGAACGCACAUUGCGCCCUUUGGAAUUCCAAAGGGCAUGCCUGUUCGAGCGUCAUUUGUACCCUCAAGCUUUGCUUGGUGUUGGGCGUCUUGUCUCCAGUUCGCUGGAGACUCGCCUUAAAGUAAUUGGCAGCCGGCCUACUGGUUUCGGAGCGCAGCACAAGUCGCGCUCUCUUCCAGCCAAGGUCAGCAUCCACAAAGCCUUUUUUCAACUUUUGACCUCGGAUCAGGUAGGGAUACCCGCUGAACUUAAGCAUAUCAAUAAGCGGAGGA